UACGGAGGAUGCGAGCGUUAUCCGGAUUUAUUGGGUUUAAAGGGUGCGUAGGCGGGAUGCCAAGUCAGCGGUAAAAAUGCGGUGCUCAACGCCGUCGAGCCGUUGAAACUGGCGUUCUUGAGUGGGCGAGAAGUAUGCAGAAUGCGUGGUGUAGCGGUGAAAUGCAUAGAUAUCACGCAGAACUCCGAUUGCGAAGGCAGCAUACCGGCGCCCUACUGACGCUGAGGCACGAAAGCGUGGGUAUCAAACAGG
rnacentral:rRNA from 1 species